UGCUGGGAUUACAGGCGUGAGCCACCACACACAGCGAAAGUUUUCCAAAAUGAUUUUUUUUUUCCUGUUGUAGUUCGAUACCUCAAUGCCUAUACUGGAAUAGUGCUACUUCGAUGCAGAAAAGAAUUCUAUCAGCUUGUGUGGUCAGCUCUUCCCUUCAUCACAUACUUGGAGAACAAAGGACACCGUUACCCAUGCUUUUUCAACACGUUACAUGUGGGAGGUAGGAGUGAUGUGGUAUGGCUACUGAUUUUCAAUUGGUGACACGUUCACAGUUCAGUCUAGACUGGUGGGUGGGUCUUCCUGCUGUCCCGCUAACAAGACACUUCCCCCUACCUCUGAAAGUCUGUAAGGUCGAGACCUUUCACAAGCUGUUGACCACAGUAACUCAUAUGCCAGGUACAAUAAGAACAUGUCAGAAGUUCCUAAUUCGGUACAACAGGAGACAGCUGUUGAUCUUGUUGCAGAACUGCACUGAUGAAGGAGAGCGGGAAGCUAUCCAGAAAUCUGUGACAAGAAGCUGCUUACUAGAGGAGGAGGAGUCAGGUGAGGAGGCUGCAGAAGCAAUGGAGUGAACCUCUGCUCCCCACACAGCUGGCUACACUGCUCAGGCUUCAGGCCCACUUGUUGAACAGAACAAUUUGGGUAGCA
rnacentral:sRNA from 1 species